rnacentral:pre_miRNA from 1 species
GAUGUACUCCCUCCGUUCGGAAUUACUUGUCUUCAAAAUGGAUGUAUCUAGAACUAAAAUACGUCUAGAUACAUCCAUUUUCGCGACAAGUAAUUUCGAACGGAGGGAGUAUAUG